rnacentral:rRNA from 1 species
UACGUAGGUGGCGAGCGUUGUCCGGAUUUACUGGGCGUAAAGAGCGCGCAGGCGGACGUGCAAGUCGCGUGUGAAAGCCCCCGGCUCAACUGGGGAGGGUCACGCGAUACUGCUCGACUUGAAGGCAGGAGAGGGAAGUGGAAUUCCCGGUGUAGUGGUGAAAUGCGUAGAUAUCGGGAGGAACACCAGUGGCGAAGGCGACUUCCUGGCCUGUUCUUGACGCUGAGGCGCGAAAGCUAGGGUAGCAAACGGG